AUAAAAAUGUACCCAAUAGUUGAACGUUGGGUAUCAUAAUCACCUAUAUAGUUAGCAUCAAAAUGACUAACUAGCUUACAAUCUCCACAUUUCUUAUAUAAAAUGUCAUAGCUAAGUGCACUUUUUCCAUAUCUUAGAAUUUUUCGUACUGCUUCUAAAUGAGUUUCUUUGAAUUUUCAUGUGUUAACUCAUCACAUCGACUGCGUAAGAAAUAAUAACUCUGGUUAAAUUAAG
rnacentral:lncRNA from 1 species